UACGUAGGGGGCGAACGUUGCUCGGAAUUACUGGGCGUAAAGGGUGCGUAGGUGGCUGAGCAAGUCAAAGAUGAAAUCCCGAGGCUCAACUUCGGAACUGUCUUUGAAACUGUUCGGCUUGAGGAUAGUUGAGGAGAGCGGAAUUCCCGGUGGAGCGGUGAAAUGCGUAGAUAUCGGGAGGAACACCGGAGGCGAAGGCGGUUCUCUAAACUAUUCCUGACACUGAGGCACGAAAGCUAGGGGAGCGAACGGG
rnacentral:rRNA from 1 species